rnacentral:lncRNA from 1 species
UGUAUCAAUCUAAGUUAUAGUUUUUACAUAUUUUGAAUCAUAAAAUUGUGGCUUCAAAGUUGGUGGAUUUGACAUAAAGUUUAAUGCAGAGAUGAGUUCAGAAGUGGUAGUUCUUUAUAGCCAGUAGGAAGGGUUAUUUCUUCCUCAGUUGGAGUUUUGCCAUAUUAGGAGAUAAUGUGAAAAAGAGGUUUUUUUAGGGGAAAAACAUGCUUUUAAAGAUUUUCAUCACAUUACUCAGCACUUAAUUCAGUUAUCCUAACAAAUAGCUAUUGAACUUAUUUAGCAAAGUUCUCCAUAGCAUCAUUUUAUAAUGAAUAUGUACUUUUAACUUUUUAAUUUCCUGAUAGCCACUUUGGGAAUCCCAGUCUCAAAUUGAAGCAUAUUGCCAGCAAAACAGUAAACAAUUACUUUUGAAGAUUUUCAUGACUUGCAAGUGUUUUCUGGUUUUGUUUUGUUUUUCAGAAUUUUUUUCCAGAGAAGUAUAUCAGAGAACUCCCUGGUAGYAAUGGACUUCUCAGGUCAGAAAAGCAGAGUUAUAGAAAAAUCCCACCUAAGCUCUUUCAGUUGCAGUUGAAGAAGGACUCGCUUGGAGGGUACUCAUAAUUUCACUUUCUUGAAAGAAUUUUUAAUUUCAGUUUGUUUCACCCCCAUUCCUUGCUCAGAAAAAAAGGAUGUUUGCACCUGGGCAGUCACAGUAGACCCACUGCCUCCUCACAGACCUCUGCCACAAACAUGGCCAUCCAUCGGUCCCAGCCAUGGUUUCACCACAAGAUUUCCAGAGAUGAAGCUCAGUGAUUGAUUAUUUAGCAAGGACUUUUAAUGGGUAAGUUUGAUACUUUUAGUGUUGAGUAGAAUUUGGGUUUGGAUUUUGGAUUUGGUUUGGAUUUUGCCAGUAAAUAAUAAUCAUUUAUUCAGUGGACACCAAGUGUUUUUAAUUUUGGCUUAUCAUAACACAGAAAUGACUUUGUUCUGUAAGAGUGGCUAUCACUGAAUUCUAGCAAUAUCUGUAUAAUACCCAGUACACAGAGUGUGCUUAGUAUUUGUGUAUAAAUUAACAGAGAAGAGAAUAGUAUUCUUUGUUCUUGACUAAGAGCACUAAUGUUAUCCAUUCUGUGCCAAUUCUAGCAUUUUAGAUAUUAAUUCAU